UAUGCUAAUGAGUAAGUCAAUCUAGAAUUUUUCAACAGAGCAUACAAAUAAUAUUCUUAAAAGAAAAUCAAUAUCAAAUUGUAGAAUGGAAUUUUCAAGGGAAUCUAGAGUUGGCUUAGCUCGAAUUGGAUUUAGAAUGUGAUUACUUGAUCAUAAAAUGGUACAAAUAUGGCAAUUAUCUCGAGGGUUAAUCAUGAUCUAGUGUACUUGGAAAGUAAGGAUAAAAAUUCUGAUUGAAUAUUAUAUAUAUAUAUAUAUAAAGAAUGAUGAUGAUCUAGGAUUCUUAAGAAAUUUUGGAGAAUAUUGAUCAGAGUUGCGCAGUG
rnacentral:lncRNA from 1 species